rnacentral:rRNA from 1 species
GGUUAAAAAGCUCGUAGUUGGAUUUCUGUCGAGGACAACCGGUCCGCACUUUGUGCGUGUAUCUGGCUUGGCCUUGGCAUCCUCUUGGGGAACGUUGCUGCGAUUGAUUUCGUGGUACGGUAUUCAAGACUUUUACUUUGAGGAAAUUAGAGUGUUUACAGCAGGCAAACGCCUUGAAUACAUUAGCAUGGAAUAAUAAUAUAGGACCUUGGUUCUAUUUUGUUGGUUUCUAGAACUAAGGUAAUGAUUAAUAGGGACAAUUGGGGGCAUUCGUAUUAACUCGUCAGAGGUGAAGUUCUUGGAUUGAGUUACGACGAACUACUGCGAAAGCAUUUGCCAAGGAUGUUUUCAUUGAUCAAGAACGAAAGUGCGGGGAUCGAAGACGAUUAGAUACCGUCGUAGUCUGCACCAUAAACUAUGCCAACUAGAGAUUGGAGGUCGUUCUUUUUGUGACUCCUUCAGCACCUUAUGAGAAAUCAAAGUUUUUGGGUUCCGGGGGGAGUAUGGUCGCAAGGCUGAAACUUAAAGGAAUUGACGGAAGGGCACCACCAGGAGUGGAGCCCGCGGCUUAAUUUGACUCAACACGGGAAAACUUACCAGGCCCAGACAUAGUAAGGAUUGACAGAUUGAUAGCUC